rnacentral:rRNA from 1 species
GUUGAACGCUGGCGGCAUGCCUUACACAUGCAAGUCGAACGGGAGCACGGGAGCAAUCCUGGUGGCGAGUGGCGAACGGGUGAGUAAUACAUCGGAACGUGCCCAUUAGUGGGGGAUAGCCCGGCGAAAGCCGGAUUAAUACCGCAUACGACCUACGGGUGAAAGCGAGGGAGCGCAAGACCUCGCGCUAUUCGAGCGGCCGAUGGCAGAUUAGCUUGUUGGUGGGGGAAAGGCCUACCUAGGCGACGAUCCGUAGCUGGUCCGAGAGGACGAACAGCCAAAAUGGGACUGAGACCCGGCCGAGACACCUACGGGAGGCAGCAGUGGGGAAGUUUUGAACAUGGGCGAAAGGCUGAACCAGCCAUGCCGAGUGCAUGAAGAAGGCCUUCAGGUUGUAAACCGGUGUGGUCAGGGAAGAAACGCCUUAAUCUAAUAAAUUGAGCUAAUGACGGUACCUGAAGAAUAAGCACCGGCUAACUACGUGCCAGCAGCCGCCGCCG